UAAUCCCUUUCUCCACCAAAGUAGAUUUGUUGCUUUGCUGACAAAACCUCUGUGCACUUGGCUUUUAGGGUAUUUCUCCAGAACAUUGCUUCUCAAAGUGUGGCCCUGGAGGCAGCAGCAUUGCAUCACCUGGGAACUUGGUAGAAAUGCAGAUUCUCAGGUCUCACCCUGACCUACUGAAUCAGAAACCCUGGGGGUGGGACCCAGCCGGCUGUGUAUUAACAACUCCUCUGGGGAUGCUAAUACCUGCUCCAGACUGAGAAGCACUGCUCCAGAUCUUACUGGAAGACCGCCAAACAGAUGAGUCCCCUGGAAUGCCCUGGAGGGAGUUAGCAAAACCAAACUGGAUUUAGAGGUCCUUGGAAAAUGGAGAAAAAAGAUACAUUUUCACUGUGGAAUUGCAAGUCCCAGUGUGGCAGCCAUGGAAAUGCACACACAGAUCGCCCUACAGAAGAGAACUUGCUUGAAGAGAGCCAUUGGCUGACACUCUAGCUGCUACACCUUUGGAUGCCCUGCAGCAUUCCUGCUAAGGCCACCCUCCCUAGGCUGUUCCAAACUGAUGACAGAACACGGUGGGGAGAAUAGUGCUGGGCCAUUCCUUCCUGACAGGGGACCCCUCUGAUGGGCAGUCUGUGCUCUGGGGCUCCCCAUCAGCCUGGCUGAGACUUUCUCAGAGCUGCACUACUGGAUGAGGCUCUCCCUACCCACCCAUCCUUCCUUCCCACAGGGGUCAGACCUGCCUCCCUGUCUGAAGGCCCUCUUGGCCCAUUCCUGCUUCCUCUCUCAUUUUGUUUCUUGGUGUUUCCCUCAAUAAAUCUCUUGCAAGUCUAA